AUAUACCGGAACGUUAGAUCACCGAAGUCAAGCAUCAUUGGGCGCGGUCAGUACUUGGGUGGGUGACCACCUGGGAACACCGUGUGC